GGCCCGCCCCGGCCCGAGCGAGGCGCCGCGGGAGGAAUUCCAGCCAUUUCCUCUGAGCCGCGCGGUAUCACUACUGUCUUCAGUUUUCCCCGAUCUUCCCACCCUCCUUGCCGGUGGCCUCCUUUCCAGUCUCACAUUCCGGUGCAGUCAGGGCCGGCUUUACAGUGAGGAAGAUGUUCCUGCAACACACACUGGCCCCUCACAGACCUGAGUGAUUGCAGCCUCAUUGAACUGGAUGGCUUUUCUGAGUGGCCCAGGCAAUCAACUCAAGACCCCAGUGUACAGAGGAACAAACUGCCUGUAUGCAGAAUUCUAAAUGGACUGGAUAUAUGCAAAUCACCAAGGUCAGGGGCAGCCCUAGACCAGCCCUUCCUAUGUGAUUUCAGACAUGGAGACCCA